rnacentral:rRNA from 1 species
CCUACGGUAGUCAGCAGUAGGGAAUCUUCCACAAUGGGCGAAAGCCUGAUGGAGCAACGCCGCGUGGGUGAAGAAGGUCUUCGGAUCGUAAAACCCUGUUGUUAGAGAAGAAAGUGCGUGAGAGUAACUGGUCACGUUUCGACGGUAUCUAACCAGAAAGCCACGGCUACCUACGUGCCAGCAGCCGCGGUACUACGUAGGUGGCAAGCGUUAUCCGGAUUUAUUGGGGGUAAAGGGAACGCAGGCGGUCUUUUACGGUUGAUGUUAAAGCCUUCGGCUUAACCGGAGUAGUGCAUUGGAAACUGGGAGACUUGAGUGCAGAAGAGGAGAGUGGAACUCCAGGUGUAGCGGUGAAAUGCGUAGAUAUAGGGAAGAACACCAGUGGCGAAAGCGGCUCUCUGGUCUGUAACUGACGCUGAGGUUCGAAAGCGUGGGUAGCAAACAGGAUUAGAUACCCCAGUAGUC